rnacentral:rRNA from 1 species
UACGUAGGGGGCAAGCGUUGUCCGGAUUUAUUGGGCGUAAAGAGCGUGUAGGCGGUUUGGUAGGUCCGUUGUGAAAACUCGAGGCUCAACCUCGAGACGCCGGCGGAAACCAUCAGGCUAGAGUCCGGAAGAGGAGAGUGGAAUUCCUGGUGUAGCGGUGAAAUGCGCAGAUAUCAGGAGGAACACCAAUGGCGAAGGCAGCACUCUGGGACGUGACUGACGCUGAGACGCGAAAGCGUGGGGAGCAAACAGG